CACCACUCAAGCACGGCUUGGUGUUGGGCGGCGUCCCCUCCUUGGGGACGCGCUUCGAAACGCUCGGCGGCGUGGCACCGGCUUUAAGCGUAGCAGAAUCUUUCGCUUUGGAAGUCGGGGCCCCGUCCGCCGGAAGACCUACCUUCAA
rnacentral:misc_RNA from 1 species